GCAUGAGAUGAUGAUCUGGCAAUCUUAUUGAUUGCCAGGAUGGAGUCAGCUGAUCUGGCUCACUAAGAGGAUGUCUCCUUUCUCCCUCACUGCUCCAUGUGCUUCCCUCCUGAAGUUGUGUAGUUGGUGGAAGAGGAUGACUAUCUCAGACAGAAGUGUACCAUUCUUAGGAGAAGGGUAUAUGGUAGCUGUGAUUUCCUUGCAAAAACCUUCAAACAAGCUCAAGGUUUCUUCCUAAUGCCUAACAGUAAUGUGCUGAUAG
rnacentral:sRNA from 1 species